CUGCAGUAUUUGUUUGGUCGACAUACCACGUUGGUUGUCGUAAAGUGCGGUAUUUGAGUUAUAUUUUAGAAGAGCCUAGACAAAAUGUGCUCCUUGCCGUGUGCAGUAGCCAUCGCAAACCCUCCGGACUCGUGUAACGCCGUUAGUUCGCCGUGUGUUUCGUGCGAUCUACCAGUGUCGACAGUGAGUGUUACUAGAGCGCCCGUCCGAGCUGCCUUUGUUCUGCCCACGACCGGCUUAUAAAGCCGGUCGUGGUUCUGCCAAGCUGCCUGCCCGCGCUCCCGUGAAAAGUCUGGUACUGGAGCUUCGAAUCGUAGUGUAUGGAAGGCUGUUGAAGGUUGUGCUUUUGUGGAGCUGGAGUUCAUCGGAAGUUCUACAGUGCUUGCGCCAGAAAGACGUCGGUGCCUCGGUACCUUUGAGACGAAGGAGCGUUGGCCAAGUCUUUUUGAAAGGCUAUGCGGUUUCUGGAGGCAUCCCUACAUCGAGCAGGAAUCUGCUGCACUGCUGGAAGCUGGACAGCACGACAAUAAAGCACGUGAUCUGCGUGCUUUCUCAAAGGUAGACAUCGACGACGGUGUACAUGUUGAAAAGGGCCUGCUGAAGAGGCUGCGCCUGGAUGCUAACAACUCGGGCUUUCAGUUUGCGGGGGGCCUCCUUAAGGCUCCUUUUACAAAAGAAGAGGUUGAAGGGAGGCGCUACACAUGGAUGCGCAGCGAUUGUUUGUGACAGCGUCACUGCUGGCAGGCCUGGCCUGCCUUUUCGCUUUGUUCUGGGUCUUCCACGUUAUCUACUCGAAAAAGGCCCACAGGAUUUUGACAUUUAUUGAGCACUGCUUUCUGGAUUUUUGCUACACAAAGCCGCAGGUGAUAGCAUUGGAUUUAGUCAAUUUUUACAAGAACUAUUGCUAGGCAAAAAAAUUUUCAGAUGCAUAUCCUCAAGAAAGUUUCUGUCAAAAUUAUUUUGCCUAACAAAAGCACUCGUGGGUUCUGUGGCUGACAGGUUGCCCAAGCCAUGUAGCACAGUGCUUGCUUUAAAGGGACACGAAAAAGAAAAUUUGUUUGAGCUUUAUUAAAUCAUUCUUCUACAACACCGAAAAAACAACUCCCACCAUGAGAAUUGGCUUGAUAAGCCAGAUAACUUGCAAAAACGAAAACUGGUGCCGCCACCACCACCUUAUAGUUCCUGCACCAGCUCGCUGUGAUAUGGAAUUUGACGGUGUCUGUUCGGGUCUAGCUAAUGUUCUACUGGCCAAUAUUGAUGAAUUCUGUUGUAAAGGUGUCAAAGAAUAUACUUAGUUGAAGUAUGACUCCACACGGAUGUGCGGGCACUGCAUAAAACUUGAAAAAUGAAAGUUAAAUCUUCAUUUUCUCUUCUAAUAAUCCUCUUAUUGC